AUUGGUUAAGCAUUUGGCUGCUAACCAAAAGACUGGCAGUUCGAAUCUGCCAGCCACUC
rnacentral:tRNA from 1 species